rnacentral:rRNA from 1 species
GAUGAACGCUGGCGGCGUGCCUAAUACAUGUAAGUCGAACGGAGAGCAUUAGCUUCGGUUGGUGCUUUUAGUGGCGAACGGGUGAGUAACGCGUUGGUGACCUGCCCCGAAGAGGGGGAUAACAGCUCGAAAGGGCUGCUAAUACCCCAUAAUGUCCGAGAGGCCAGAGGCUUUCGGACGAAAGGAGCAAUCCGCUUUGGGAGGGGCCUGCGUCCCAUCAGCUAGUUGGUAGGGUAAAAGCCUACCAAGGCGACGACGGGUAGGGGACCUGAGAGGGUGACCCCCCACACUGGCACUGAAACACGGGCCAGACACCUACGGGUGGCAG